GCGGGCAUCGUACAGUGGCAGUACCUUAGCUUCCCAAGCUAAAGACGCGGGUUCAAUUCCCGCUGCCCGCUCCA
rnacentral:tRNA from 1 species